CCUACGGGAGGCAGCAGUGGGGAAUAUUGCACAAUGGGGGAAACCCUGAUGCAGCGAUGCCGCGUGGAGGAAGAAGGUUUUCGGAUUGUAAACUCCUUUUAUCAGGGACGAUAAUGACGGUACCUGAAGAAAAAGCUCCGGCUACCUACGUGCCAGCAGCCGCGGUAAUACGUAGGGAGCGAGCGUUGUCCGGAAUUACUGGGUGUAAGGGGAGCGUAGGCCGCAUGUCAAGCGUGCUGUGAAAUGUCCGGGCUCAACCCGGGCCUUGCAGCGCGAACUGGCGUGCUUGAGUCCGCGGAAAGCAGGCGGAAUUCGUCGUGUAGCGGUGAAAUGCUUAGAUAUGACGAAGAACCCCGAUUGCGAAGGCAGCUUGCUGCAGCGGAACUGACGCUGAUGCUCGAAAGCGCGGGUAUCGAACAGGAUUAGAUACCCCAGUAGUC
rnacentral:rRNA from 1 species